rnacentral:rRNA from 1 species
CCUACGGGAGGCAGCAGUGGGGAAUAUUGGGCAAUGGGCGCAAGCCUGACCCAGCAACGCCGCGUGAAGGAAGAAGGCUUUCGGGUUGUAAACUUCUUUUGUCAGGGAAGAGUAGAAGACGAUACCUGACGAAUAAGCCACGGCUAACUACGUGCCAGCAGCCGCGGUAAUACGUAGGUGGCAAGCGUUGUCCGGAUGUACUGGGUGUAAAGGGCGUGUAGCCGGGUUGACAAGUCAGAUGUGAAAUCCUGCGGCUUAACCGCAGAACUGCAUUUGAAACUGUUGAUCUUGAGUACUGGAGAGGCAGACGGAAUUCCUAGUGUAGCGGUGAAAUGCGUAGAUAUUAGGAGGAACACCAGUGGCGAAGGCGGUCUGCUGGACAGCAACUGACGGUGAGGCGCGAAAGCGUGGGGCGCAAACAGGAUUAGAUACCCUUGUAGUC